rnacentral:tRNA from 1 species
AAGGAUUUAAGUUAAGGUUCAAACUAAUAACCUUCAAAGUUGUAAAUAGAGAAAUUACCUCUAAGCCUUA